rnacentral:tRNA from 1 species
AAGUGAGAAGCAAACCUUGCAAUCAGUUUCGACCUGAUCUUAGAUAAAUCAACUUAUCCUUACUUU